rnacentral:rRNA from 1 species
UGAAUUGACGGGGCCCGCACAAGCGGUGGAGCAUGUGGUUUAAUUCGAAGCAACGCGAAGAACCUUACCAGGUCUUGACAUCCCCUGACAACCCGAGAGAUCGGGCGUUCCCCCUUCGGGGGACAGGGUGACAGGUGGUGCAUGGUUGUCGUCAGCUCGUGUCGUGAGAUGUUGGGGUUAAGUCCCGCAACGAGCGCAACCCUCGACCUUAGUUGCCAGCAUUCAGUUGGGCACUCUAAGGUGACUGCCGGCUAAAAGUCGGAGGAAGGUGGGGAUGACGUCAAAUCAUCAUGCCCCUUAUGACCUGGGCUACACACGUGCUACAAUGGGCGGUACAAAGGGUCGCGAACCCGCGAGGGGGAGCCAAUCCCAAAAAGCCGCUCCCAGUUCGGAUUGCAGGCUGCAACUCGCCUGCAUGAAGCCGGAAUCGCUAGUAAUCGCGGAUCAGCAUGCCGCGGUCGAAUACGUUCCCGGGCCUU